rnacentral:rRNA from 1 species
UCAAGGCGGUGCCGGGGGCCGGGGUAAUAGUUAGGGGUCUUCGGUUGUCCGGCUUUCAUGGGCGUAAAUGGCUCGUAGGCGGUUCGGUAAGUCAGGUGUGAAAUCUCCACGCUCAACGUGGAGGAGCCACCUUAUACUGCCGUGACUUGAGUCCGGUAGGGGAGUGUGGAAUUCCCGGUGUAGCGGUGAAAUGCGCAGAUAUCGGGAGGAACACCAGUAGCGAAGGCGGCACUCUGGGCCGGUACUGACGCUGAGGAGCGAAAGCGUGGGGAGCAAACAGGAUUAGAUACCCCUGUAGUC